rnacentral:rRNA from 1 species
GACGAACGCUGGCGGCGUGCUUAACACAUGCAAGUCGAACGGAAAGGCCCUGCUUUUGUGGGGUGCUCGAGUGGCGAACGGGUGAGUAACACGUGAGUAACCUGCCCUUGACUUUGGGAUAACUUCAGGAAACUGGGGCUAAUACCGGAUAGGAGCUCCUGCUGCAUGGUGGGGGUUGGAAAGUGUCGGCGGUUGGGGAUGGACUCGCGGCUUAUGAGCUUGUUGGUGGGGUAGUGGAUUACCAAGGCUUUGACGGGUAGCCGGCCUGAGAGGGUGACCGGCCCCAUAGGGCCUGGGAAACGGCCCGGACUCCUACGGGAGGCAGGGGUGGGGAAUAUUGCACAAUGGGCGGAAGCCUGAUGCAGGAACGCCGCGUGCGGGAUGACGGCCUUCGGGUUGUAAACCGCUUUCGCCUGUGACGAAGCGUGAGUGACGGUAAUGGGUAAAGAAGCACCGGCUAACUCCGU